rnacentral:piRNA from 1 species
UAAUAAACGUCCUUGCCGCACCCUGCGC